rnacentral:tRNA from 1 species
UCCUCGAUAGCUCAACGGUAGAGCAUCCGGCUGUUAACCGGCAGGUUCCUGGUUCGAAUCCAGGUCGAGGAGCCA